rnacentral:misc_RNA from 1 species
AGUUCAGCGAUGUCCAAAACCGGGUCCGGGAACCGGCCCCUGGGCGGAAAACUACCUAGGAAGCAGGAAAAGGCCCUUCAAGAGGCGGACGAAAAAUUUUUGUCACUCGCGGCCCCGGAGUGCCAAGGCAUUACUGCGCGUCAGGCGCGGGCUUCACCAUUCGUCUUCAGCCUGGCCAAGCACCUGCCCGUCUCGGCGCGGACCGCAUGAAACCACCCUCAGGCGGGACAUUGCACGGAACGGUAGCGGUCGCCGUGGUGUUCAUCGUCGGAAGGACCAGGCA